CACGUAGGGGGCGAGCGUUGUCCGGAUUCAUUGGGCGUAAAGAGCUCGUAGGCGGCUCGGCAAGUCGGGUGUGAAACCUCCAGGCUCAACCUGGAGACGCCACUCGAUACUGCUGUGGCUAGAGUCCAGUAGGGGAGCGUGGAAUUCCCGGUGUAAUGGUGAAAUGCGUAGAUAUCGGGAGGAACACCAGUGGCGAAGGCGGCUACCUGGCCCAUUCUUGACGCUGAGGCGCGAAAGCUAGGGGAGCAAACGGG
rnacentral:rRNA from 1 species